rnacentral:rRNA from 1 species
AUUGAACGCUGGCGGCAGGCCUAACACAUGCAAGUCGAACGAGUGGCGGACGGGUGAGUAAUGUCUGGGGAUCUGCCUGAUAGAGGGGGAUAACUACUGGAAACGGUGGCUAAUACCGCAUACCAUCGGAUGUACCCAUAUGGGAUUAGCUUGUUGGUGGGGUAACGGCUCACCUAGGCGACGAUCCCUAGCUGGUCUGAGAGGAUGACCAGCCACACUGGAACUGAGACACGGCCCAGACUCCUACGGGAGGCAGCAGUGGGGAAUAUUGCACAAUGGGCGCAAGCCUGAUGCAGCCAUGCCGCGUGUAUGAAGAAGGCCUUCGGGUUGUAAAGUACUUUCAGUCGGGAGGCGUUACCCGCAGAAGAAGCACCGGCUAACUCCGUGCCAGCCGCCGCGGUAAUAC